AGGGGGAACACGGAGGGGGCGGCAUCUAGGUGACCCACAGUUGCAGGGGUAGUGGCUGUGGCCGGGCCGGCCCCCUUCAGUGAGGGCGACCAUGGUAGGUACGCCAUUCGUCUGGGGACUUUGCCUAAUUCAUAGUUACAUAGGCUGAAAAGAAACAUGCGUCCAUCAAGUUCAGCCUUUCUCACGUUUGUUUUAGCUGUUUAUCCAAAAGAAGGCAAAAAAUAAUAAUUUUGAAGCGCUUCCAAUCUUGCAACAAACAAGGAAAAAAUUCCCCUAUAAAAUACUUAUUUUUUUAGGGGGUGGGUGGCAGUGCCGCUAUAAAUACGAAAGAGGAAUUUUGUAGACAACACAUACAAAACUAUUCAGCAAACUGAUUACAGACAUUUAG